rnacentral:rRNA from 1 species
GAUGAACGCUGGCGGCGUGCUUAACACAUGCAAGUCGAACGGAAAGGCUCCUGCUUGCAGGGGUACUCGAGUGGCGAACGGGUGAGUAACACGUGGGUGAUCUGCCCUGCACUUCGGGAUAAGCCUGGGAAACUGGGUCUAAUACCGGAUAGGACGAUGGUUUGGAUGCCAUUGUGGAAAGUUUUUUCGGUGUGGGAUGAGCUCGCGGCCUAUCAGCUUGUUGGUGGGGUAAUGGCCUACCAAGGCGUCGACGGGUAGCCGGCCUGAGAGGGUGUACGGCCACAUUGGGACUGAGAUACGGCCCAGACUCCUACGGGAGGCAGCAGUGGGGAAUAUUGCACAAUGGGCGCAAGCCUGAUGCAGCGACGCCGCGUGGGGGAUGACGGCCUUCGGGUUAUAAACUCCUUUCGCUAGGGACGAAGCGCAAGUGACGGUACCUGGAGAAGAAGCACCGGCUAACUACGUG